UUCUCCAAGCUAAACAAGCCCAGUUCUCUCAACCUUUCCUCAUAGGAGAGGUGCUCCAGCCCUCUGGUCAUCUUAGUCUUGGAGAGUACUUAAGCCUGGCUGACAGCUUUCUGCUAAAAGAGGUGAAUUGCAUCUAAUGGAGUGUUCUUCCACGGGGACUUGGUAUUGCAAGUCUGGGGGCUAAUUUAUUCAGUGAUUGAAUGUGAAUCAAAAAUGAUAAAAUUUACGGAUGGACAGGAUUAUUCAGCAUGAUAGAAAAUUACAGCAAGAACCGCUGGAAAGAAGUGGGGCUGCCAGCUACAGGCUGCAGUGGGUGAGGCUCACCAGAAGGCUAACUGUGACAGAGAGGCAGCAGUGAUGGGAUGGAGAUUUGGAAACUAUGCACCAGACACCAGAGUUAGCAAUAAACAUUCAGAGCCAAAACAGAGGUUUCACUGGUACCAGGUUCCUGUAAAAAUGAAUGUUUAUAACCUCCUUUAAAAUUGCCUUCAAAUUCUUAGCAGUCAUCACUUAAAAGACAGGUGAGGAAGAAAAGGUUGUAACGUUUACAAACGCUGUAGUGUAAUGCCAUCCAUCUCACAUCGGUGGCCAAAAGGUGUUUGUGUUGCAUAAAAUAAUGCAAAAACUCAAGUAGCAACGAGUAGCAAAGAAAAAUAAGGAUUCAAAUAAGGAAAAAAAUUAAAAAGAUCAGACAAACCCCCAACAUGGGGUACCUAAAGAAGGUGGCAUAAGUGAUGCAUUACAAUCACAUUCAUUACUUUUAAACUUCUUGAAGAAUGCAAUAUACGUUGUAACUCAGAUAGGGUUGAGCUCCUAUAGCUGGAGAGACAGUAUUUACUAAUAACUUGAACAAGAGUGUUUAAGCAGUUAGCUGGCUCACAGUGGUGAUUUUGUUACUGCUAAGAACAGUGAGCUAAGAACCAAUGAACAGAACCAUAGGAACAGGGACAUUCCAUAGCACUGAAAGCUCCUUGUAUUUUUAGGCUGGGAGUUCAGCAAGAAUAAAGCUAAGUACAGCUGCAAGACGAGUGGGAGUUGACAAAGCAAAGAGGAUAAGGGCAAUCUUUGAAACCUGAUUAAAGAGGUUGCUUCCACCACAGAGUGCUCAGGCCGGCAAUUUAGCAAGUAGACCCAAAAAUAGCAGAAUGCUGCUUCUAUUAUUACUACAACUCAAGUGGCAGAUGCUAAUUAAGAUUUUGGUUUCUGAAAGCUAUGGCUUAACUUGAAAAUGCAUUUGUGUCCAAAGUAGUUACUGAACAGGCCCACGUCUCCAACCCCUACAAGAUACAAAGGAACAGAUUUACAAGAUGCUCUGUUUCCAUUCCUUACUGCUGUCUCUGUGCAACAGUUCAAUCUGUAAAACAUUCAGACUUUAGAAGAAACUGUCUUUCUUCAUUAGAGAAAUGAACAAAGCAAGACGUUGCAUCCCAAAUGUUUUUUGGUCAGUUUUGUAUUAAAAACAUAUGAAAGGUGUAAUGCACAUCUUAAACCAAACCACAUUUAUUUCAUCAGUCACAAGUGCAAAUACAGCAACAAGUCAGUUCAGCAAAUUACAACACUGAAAGGAAUGUAAUGUAAAUGCUAAGUACACUGACAGAGCAACUUCAAAGAGCAGCAAAAAAAAAAAAAACCAGUUUGUUCAAAUAAAAACUUCUAUUGUUUUUAUCUGUACCCUAAAAUAA